rnacentral:rRNA from 1 species
UACAGAGGGUGCGAGCGUUAAUCGGAAUUACUGGGCGUAAAGCGCACGUAGUCGGCUUUGCAAGUCGGUUGUGAAAUCCCCGGGCUCAACCUGGGAACUGCAUCCGAGACUGCAUUGCUAGAGUAUGGGAGAGGAAAGCGGAAUUUCUGGUGUAGCAGUGAAAUGCGUAGAUAUCAGAAGGAACAUCAGUGGCGAAGGCGGCUGCCUGGCCCAAUACUGACAC